UGCCAUUUCCUGCUGGGAACAGGGAGCUUCCUGUUUCUAAGCAAAUGCAGCCAGGCAAACAGUGCUGCUCAGGGGUGGCAGCAGGGGGCAGUGAAGGUCUAAUGCAAGAGCAGGUAUGUUUGUUUUGGGAAGCUUCACAUAUAUUCAAAGAGGUAGGAUGUUCUCAUGGGCUAUAAGCAAGAAUUUUAUCACAGAGGUACAACUUUUUUUAAGACUGUGAAGGCGUAGCAGAUUAUUAGAUUGAACUCUGGCGCCUUGCUGAAUUCUGUGAGUUUGGAGACUGUCGAGAUGGCCUCCUUUGUGAUCAUCUUAUCUGUGGAGUUAAAGAUAAAGUGAUCGAACACCACCUCUUCUCUGAACAAAAUAUGACCCUUGCUGUGGCACAAUUAAAGGCUUCGGCAGCAGAAGCUGCAUCACAUGUGAAGGAAAUCCACCAUACAAACUCUUCCACUGUGCUCAUGCUUCAAGAUGAGCAGGAAUCAGAGUAUCCUCAACCAUUUCAGCAGAUCACACCCUCCUUUCCAUGGUCACAGAAGCCUAGCUAUCUGCUGGUCUGCUCAAACUUUUGUGGGCAGCAUAAGUGAAGUGAAUGCAAAUUCAGGAAUGUGGAAUGUUAUGCUCUCAAGGAAAAGGGCCAUAUUGAAAAAAUUUGCCAUUCAAAGACUAGUGGAAGACUACAACAAGAUUACACAAACCAGCUGAAUAUUUAGAUCAUAUGUUUUUACCUAAGUUUAGGAGAGCAUUGACCCUUGCUCGUUUGAAUGCCCUUCCCUCUGCACUCCUAGAUGGGAAAUGUAAACGAGUUCCAUAUGCAUUGCACCGUUGCCUUUGUGGCUCAAGGGAUAUAGAGUCAGUUGUCCAUGUUAUUCUGUAUUGUCAAUUUAAUAGGGAUGCUUGUAUUAAGUUUAUUGCUCCUCUCUUAAAGAAUCAUUCCGGCCACACAGAUCAAUAUCUGUCAAAUUUUCAAUCUGUUACAUCUAUAAAUGUGGCCAAGUUUUGUUUUGUUGCAUCCAAACUUCAUAGAGCUUGUAUUAGCAAUUUGAAUAUUUUGUAAAUUAUAAAUGUAUUAUUUUAAAUGUUAAGCUGGUCUAAGGACCGUAAUAAAUUUACUUACUUACUUACA